rnacentral:rRNA from 1 species
AUUGAACGCUGGCGGCAGGCCUAACACAUGCAAGUCGAGCGAGCGGCGGACGGGGGAGUAAUGUAUGGGGCCUGCCCGAUAUAGGGGGAUAACUACUGGAAACGGUGGCUAAUACCGCAUACUCUCGGAUAACCCAUAUGGGAUUAGCUAGUGGGUGGGGUAAAGGCUCGCCUAGGCGACGAUCUCUAGCUGGUCUGAGAGGAUGGUAAGGCACACUGCGACUGAGAUACGGCCCAGACUACUACGGAGGCAGGAGAGGAGAAUAUUGUACAAUGGGAGCGAGGUUAGUGUAGCCCUGCCGCGUGUAUGGAGAAGGUCUUAGGGUUUUAAAGUACUUUCAGUGUGGAGGCGUUACCAGAAGAAGAAGCACCGGCUAACUCCGUGCCAGCCGCCGCGGUAAUAC